GCGCCCGUAGCUCAGUGGAUAGAGCAACGGUUUCCUAAACCGUGUGCCGGGGGUUCGACUCCCUUCGGGCGCA
rnacentral:tRNA from 1 species